AACAAUUAUAAUUAUAGAUGUAUUUUGCUGGAGUACUAAUGCCACAAUAUUUGGAUAAGUUCAAAUUUUUGUUUUUCUAAGAUGAGUAUGCUAGUACUAUUAUGAAAUAUAUGAAAUUUUAAAUUAUAGAAUGCAGAUCAUGUGGUCUCAGAUGUUAUGUUACAUGAAUCUAUUGCAAGAAAGAAACUCCCUAAUUUAACAAUAGGCUUUAACAUGUGAAUCUUUAUUUUUUGGUUGGUGAAUUGAAACUAUUCUUUAGAAAUGAUAUGUACAAACAAUCUUACAUACUUUUGUUUGGAUGUUUUCGAUUCAAUCCUGCAAUGGUAAGGCUUGUUAAUAAACUGAUCUUAUGGUUGAUGGAGAUGAUUAGAGAAUUCUGGUUAUAAAAUUAUCAGCAAUGGUAAGGCUUGUUAAUAAACAAGCCUUACUAGCAAGGCUUGUUUGGAUGUUUUCGAUUCAAUCCUGCAAUUACUGCCAUUUCUGGCAGUUUUAAUAACCAAUUACAAUUGAUGAUCAAAUCCUUUGCAUCUAUUGAAUGUCUUAUUAUAUUUUUGACAAUUCAAAUAUGUGUUCUGCUAAAAUUUGAAUUGUGAUUGCGUUAAGAUGUGCUGCUUGAAGACAUUAUCAAUUAAGGACAAGAUAAAUAUAAGUGAAAAAUGUCUUCGGCUCAGAAUAAAUUAUUUAUAUGAAAGAUGGAUAAAAACAAUGACGAUUUUGUGGUUCUGAUUGCAAGCUUUUCUCAAAGAUUGUUAACUACCUACAUCAUUUGUGGAUUGUUGGCCUAUUAUUAUUGUAAAUUUUUUUCCCAAAUUCUUGACUUGCAUCUUAUGGAUUAAUUAUAAAAUUUCAGCAACUAACUAAAUAAGUCAUUUUGCAGGAUCAUCAUAAUUUUGAUACUGUUCUUGGAAUUUACUAGUAAAAUUUGAAUUAUUAUUCAUUCAAUUUGCCAAUUGAACAAUAGAAGAGUACAUGGAAAAAUGAUGUCUUUCAAAUCAUGAACUGUGUGGUGCCAUUGGAAUAUGUCUAAAUAUAUUAAAUAUAUCACCGCUAGUUUAUGUUUAAAAGUGAUACAUGAUAUUUCGAAAUAAUUCAUGGAUUUAAUAGAAAAGCACAAUUAACAGUGAAAAAGAACUUACUAGUCUAUUGCUCCUUGUGAUGACAGCCACUUAUUGUUGGUCUUUAAUUUUUGUUGCAUAUUGCAGAAAUUGAUGGUGAAGGUUGUUUCUCUUGCCAUUGCACAUGAUAACUUCAAGUGUAGGUGUUGUUUGCACUGUGAUUUUUCACGUUUUGAUUGUUCUUGGUUAAAUGCGGAUUUCCAUCAAGAGACUCUUGAUAACUUAAGGAAAGCUUCAAAGAAUGUGAUGAAGUUAUUUGCUAGCUUCCUAUUGUGGAUGAAACAACUCUAUAUUAUGAGGCUGUUGGGUGAGGAAAGAAAAGUUGAAUUUAUGGAAUAGGGUCCUAAGCAUAUAUCUUUUAUCCACAGUCAUCUUCGAGUUUGUCCAUAGGUUCAUCAUCUGAGAUACUACAGGCUGAGGUUAGAGAUUUGCGUCAAACUCUUACUCAAGUCCAAGAUCGUGAAGAGAGGCUUCAUCAAACUCUUAGUCAAGUCCAAGAUUGUGAGGAGAGGCUUCAGAAUAUGCUUGGCCAAGUACAAGAUAAUAACAAGGCGCUUCAACAAAGUUUACUUCAAAUGAAAGAGGAGAGAGACCAAUAUCAUAAGGAGAUGAUGCAUCAAAUGAAGGACAUGAUGAUGAGUUUUGAGAAGAGGAAUCUUCAGCAGUCUCAGUUUACCUCAGAGGACUCACAGCCAUUUACUGACGAUCAUGAUGUUGAUCUUCAUGAUUUAUACUUGUAUUUGUCGUAUACUUAUUAUUUUGUGUUGAGCAUAUAUACU